rnacentral:rRNA from 1 species
GACGAACUGUCCUAACGUUGUUCGGAAUCAUUGGGCUUAAAGGGCGCGUAGGCGGCGCGGUAAGUCGGGUGUGAAAUCUCGGGGCUUAACUCCGAAACUGCAUUCGAUACUGCCGUGCUUGAGGACUGGAGAGGAGACUGGAAUUUACGGUGUAGCGGUGAAAUGCGUAGAUAUCGUAAGGAAGACCAGUGGCGAAGGCGGGUCUCUGGACAGUUCCUGACGCUGAGGCACGAAGGCCAGGGGAGCAAACGGG